rnacentral:rRNA from 1 species
UACGUAGGGUGCGAGCGUUGUCCGGAAUUAUUGGGCGUAAAGGGCUCGUAGGCGGCCUGUUAAGUCGAACGUGAAAUCCCCGGGCUCAACCCGGGAACUGCGUCCGAUACUGGCAGGCUUGAAUCCGGGAGAGGGAUGCGGAAUUCCAGGUGUAGCGGUGAAAUGCGUAGAUAUCUGGAGGAACACCGGUGGCGAAGGCGGCAUCCUGGACUGGUCCUGACACUCAUGAGCGAAAGCGUGGGGAGCGAUCCGG